rnacentral:lncRNA from 1 species
CUGCAGUGACAUCCAGUGCCAGAAAGGAACCACGUGCCAGAUGGUGGAUGGAUGGCCACGCUGCAUCCAACUCAAGGUGGCCCCAAGGAGACCUUCCUGCAGUGACCUCCAUUGUCCCAAGGGAACCACGUGCCAGAUGGUGGAUGGUUGGCCACGGUGUGUCCAACUCAAGGUAUCUCCAAGGCAGCCUUCCUGCAGCGACCUCCAUUGUCCCAAGGGAACUACGUGUAAGACGGUGGAUGGACAUCCCCAAUGUGUCCAUGACCAGCCCACCUGCAGUGACAUCCAGUGCUCCAAGGGAACCACGUGCCAGAUGGUGGAUGGUUGGCCACGCUGCAUCCAACUCAAGGUGGCCCCAAGGAGACCUUCCUGCAGUGACCUCCACUGCCCUAAAGGAACCACGUGUAAGAUGGUGGAUGGACAUCCCCAGUGCGUCCAAAAUCAACCUACCUGCAGUGACAUCCAGUGCCAGAAGGGAACCACGUGCCAGAUGUUGGAUGGUUGGCCACGUUGCAUCCAACUCAAGGUAUCUCCAAGGAAGCCUUCCUGCAGUGACCUUCACUGCCCUAAAGGAACCACGUGUAAGAUGAUAGAUGGACAUCCCCAAUGUGUCCAUGACCAGCCCACCUGCAGUGACAUCCAGUGCCAGAAGGGAACCACGUGCCAGAUGGUGGAUGGUUGGCCACGCUGCAUCCAACUCAAGGUAUCUCCAAGGAAGCCUUCCUGCAGUGACCUCCAUUGUCCGAAGGGCACUACUUGUAAGAUGAUGGAUGGACAUCCCCAAUGCGUCCAAAAUCAACCUACCUGCAGUGACAUCCAGUGCCAGAAAGGAACCACGUGCCAGAUGGUGGAUGGAUGGCCACGCUGCAUCCAACUCAAGGUAUCUCCAAGGAAGCCUUCCUGCAGUGACCUCCACUGCCCUAAAGGAAC